rnacentral:rRNA from 1 species
AGAGCGAACGCUGGCGGCAGGCCUAACACAUGCAAGUCGAACGGACCCUUCGGGGUUAGUGGCGGACGGGUGAGUAACACGUGGGAACGUGCCUUUAGGUUCGGAAUAGCUCCUGGAAACGGGUGGUAAUGCCGAAUGUGCCCUUCGGGGGAAAGAUUUAUCGCCUUUAGAGCGGCCCGCGUCUGAUUAGCUUGUUGGUGAGG